rnacentral:rRNA from 1 species
CGCGUAGGCGGCCUUCUAAGUCAGACGUGAAAUCCCCCGGCUUAACCUGGGAACUGCGUCUGAUACUGGGAGGCUUGAGUAUGGGAGAGGGAUGUAGAAUUCCAGGUGUAGCGGUGAAAUGCGUAGAUAUCUGGAGGAAUACCGGUGGCGAAGGCGGCAUCCUGGACCAUUACUGACGCUGAGGCGCGAAAGCUAGGGAGGCAAACG